UUAUUAAAUUUAUUGUAUUUAUUUUUUGUUUAUUUGAUUAUUUAAUAGGAAUAAUUUUGUUGAAUUUUGUCUUAGUAUAUUUUGUAGAAUUGAUUUUUUAGACUAUAGUUUAUUGGUAAUGUAAUUGUUUUAUGAAAUAUUAUUUUGAAUUUUUAAAAGUAGAUUUUAUUUGUUGUACCUUUUGUAUCAGGGUCUAUCAAAAUUUUAGUAUUUACUUACUUAUCUCGAUUUGGGUUGAUUUAUAAAUAAUUUAUAGUUAAUGUAUCAUAAUUAUUAUUAAAUUAUUUAUAGAAAUGAGAUGUUAAUCGUUUCCCAAGAUAUCUAGUUUCUUAAGAAAAAAUUUAAUUUUUUGAAGUUAAUUGUUUUUAUUUAAUUUUUUAGGUAUAAAUAUUAACUUAUUUAUUCUCUAAGGGAUAAGCUUUGGAGUUAAUAACCUAUAAUUUGUUUUAUUAGAAUAUAAUAGUAAGCUUUAAACCAGCUAUCUUUAAGAUUACGUUUUAGUUCAUUAUUUUUAUUUUUGAUUUUAUAAUUAUUUUAGGUUUUUUAUUAAGAUUAUAAAUUUAAUUUUAAAAUUUUUGUAAUAAUGAUAGAAUUAGUAUAUUUAUUUGUAUAUAAUUUUUACCUUGUGAAUUUAUUAUAAGGAACUAGGCAAAAUUGAUUUCCGCCUGUUUAUCAAAAACAUGUCCUCUUGAAAAUAUUUUGAGGUCUGGCCUGCUCACUGAGCAGAUUUUUAAAGAGCCGCGGUAUUUUGACCGUGCAAAGGUAGCAUAAUCAUUAGUCUCUUAAUUAGUGGCUGGAAUGAAUGGCUUGACGAGAAAUCAACUGUCUCUUAAUAAAUUUUUGAAUUUAACUUUUUAGUCAAAAGGCUUAAAUUUUUCUUAAGGACGAGAAGACCCUAUAGAGCUUAACAUUUUAUUUUUAUAUAGUUUUUUGUUUGUCUUUCUAUAUUUAAUGAUGAUGUUUUGUUGGGGUGACAUGAAGAAUAAAUAAACUCUUCAUUAUUAUAUCAUUAAUUUAUGUUUUUGUUUUGAUCCAUAAUUUAUGAUCAUAAGAUUAAGUUACCUUAGGGAUAACAGCGUAAUUGUUUUUGAGAGCUCAUAUCGACAAAGCAGAUUGCGACCUCGAUGUUGGAUUAAGAAAAAUUUUGGGUGCAGUAGCCCAGUAAUUAGGUCUGUUCGACCUUUAAAUUCUUACAUGAUCUGAGUUCAGACCGGCGUGAGCCAGGUCGGUUUCUAUCCUGAGAUUAUUAAUUCAUAUUAGUACGAAAGGACCAUAUGGUUGAAAUAUUUUUUAUUUUAUUGAUUAAUACUAAUUAAAUU